rnacentral:rRNA from 1 species
AUUGAACGCUGGCGGCAGGCCUAACCCCUGCAAGUCGAGCGAGCGGCGGACGGGUGAGUAAUGUAUGUGGACUGCCCGAUAGAGGCGGAUAACUACUGGUAACCGUGGCUAAUACCGCAUACUAUCGGAUAACCCAUAUGGGAUUAGCUAGUAGGUGGGGUAAAGGAUCACCUAGGCGACGAUCUCUAGCUGGUCUGAGAGGAUGAGGAGACACACUGGGACUGAGAAACGGCCAAGACUCCUACGGAGGAAGAAGGGGGGAAUAGUGGAAAAGGGGCGAAAGCCUGAGAAAGCAAUGCCGCGUGUAUGAAGAAGGCCAGAGGGUGGUAAAGGACUUUAAGCGGGGAGGCGUUACCAGAAGAAGAAGCACCGGCUAAAGACGUGCCAGCAGCCGCGGUAAUAC